AGGACUAUUAAACUAAGGUUGUCAGUGACCUUGUUCUUCCUGUCGUGCCUAUGAACUUUCCUGUCCAUAGGCACGACAGGAAGGACAAGGCCACUGACAAGCAUAGUGUAAUAGUCCU